rnacentral:misc_RNA from 1 species
GAAAAGAAUGUUCGAAAAUGCAAUUCAAUGUAAUAAAAAGAAUAAAUAAAAAUAAAAUACAAUAAAUAAUCCUAUUUCUUUACGACAGAAUAUCUUAUUAGCUCCAACAAGCAAUUGAUUUUCCAACAUAAAAUAUAAAAAUAUUAUGUAGAAAUAAAUUUUAAGAACCGACAAAAAUAUACCAGAAAAAAUCGUAAACCGAACAAAAUUUUAUAUAUAGUUUUGAUUAUGGUUCCAGUGUUGUAAAUUUUAUAAAUUUAACAGAAUACUGUUAUGGUUUACGGUUUCGGUCCAGCUAAAAGAUUCAGCUAAAAAUCGGGUAUGAAAUGGUUAUUGGUUCCAAUUCUGGGACGGUUCGGGUCCCUGGUUAGUAGAAUGGUGCCUCAAAUGAGUUCAGUCUGUUAACAUUUUUCGAUAUUCUAUGCGGGUCUGUUGUAUCAACAUUUUGCUAACUUUCCAAUGUCGAAGUAUACAAUAAGUGCGUACAUGUAUUUUUUUUACAGAAAAAGAAAGCUUUUAAGAGAAUUUAUUAAAUUUACAAUGGACAGCGUAAAGCACCAUUCAUUCUUUGAACAGUAUAUAACUACAUUAAACUUAAAUAAGUGUCCAAUUCCGAAACAACCUGUUCCUGAUCUUGAGCAAACUGCAGAACGUUAUUUAAGAUCUGUAAAGCCAUUAUUGACUGAUGACGAAUAUAAAAAUACGAAGAAGAUUGUUGAUGAUUUUAUAAGUCAUACGAGUGCAGGAUCACAAUUACACACUAAAUUACGUGAAAGAUAUCAAAACACUGAUAAUUGGAUGAAAGAUUGGUGGCUGGAAGUUGUAUACCUAGGAUAUCGUAUGCCCGUGAUCGUGCAUUCCAGUCCUGGAAUUAUUGGGCCUCCAAUUAUUUUCCAGCAACCAGAUGACGUAUAUGUGUACGCAGCCCGUCUCAUUGCUGGAGUAUGUGAUUACAAUGAAAUGGUCAAGAAUGGAAAAUUGAAACAAGAAAUGACUCGCAACGACCCACUCGACAUGCAGCUUUAUGCUAUGAUACUUGGCACACACAGGAAACCAGGUGAAAUAGUUGAUAAACUGUUGCACACAGAUGAGGCAACACACAUAAUAAUCAUAUGCAAUAAUAAUUUCUUUAAACUUUACGUUGUCGAUAAAAACGGCAUUUUAAGCGAGGGUAAGCUUGUGGCUGCCAUAAAAGAUAUUGCAAAUCGCUCGUGUAUCCAGGGAAAACCUAUAGGAAUUUUAACUGGGAACGACAGAGACACUUGGGUGAAAGACUACAACUUACUUUUAGAACUGGGUAACAAUAGAAAUAUAAUAAAGGAUAUAGAAACUUCUUUGUUUAUAUUGUGUCUCGAUAAGGAUAUACCUAAAGAUGCUUUUAAGGAAAAAAAUAAUGCCUCGGUCAGAGCGAUUCAAGCAUUGACAGGCUAUAAUAGUUGCACAAACGCUGGUAACAGAUGGCACGACCAUACCGUGCAAUAUAUAGUAUCCACUGAUGGUUUUAUGGGCAUGGGAUUCGAACACAGUCCAUGCGAGGGAAUUCCUUUUGCUGCUCUUCAGGAUCACGUAUUAAAAUAUAUAGCAGAAAAAAAAAAUAACGCAAAGAAUGUAAAAUCCAAAGAUUCCCCGAGACCAGAACUUUUGAAGUUCGAAACAAAUGACGCUAUAGAUUAUGCGAUCAAGAUAGCUACUGAUACAGUAGAUAAGAUUUCAAACGACAUAGACAUGGAAUGUUUUACAUUCGAUAAAUUCGGCACAGACGUCAUAAAAGCGAUUAAACUGAGUCCCGACAGUUUUAUUCAGAUCGCGAUGCAAGUGACAUUUUAUAAUUUGCAUAGAAAGAUACCGGCUCAAUACGAAAGUGCGGCAUUACGACGAUUCAUAAAUGCCAGAACUGAAUGCAUCAGGUCCACUAGCAUUGAAUCGGUCGAGUUCGUUAAAGCUAUGCAUCUCGCGGAUUGCGAGAACAAACAGCAAAAGAAGAAAUUGUUGAUCAAAGCUAUAAAUGCUCAUAAAAAACUUGCCGAGCAAGCUAUAACUGGUCAAGGCGUCGAUAGACAUUUGUUCGGCUUAAGGAUGAUCGCAAAAAGUGAAGGGAUGGAGCUCCCAGAAUUAUACAAAGAUGUUGGUUAUACUAGAAGUACACAUUUCAAUGUAACAUCAAGUCAGUUGCCGUUUAAGACAGCGUCUUUUGCUUGCUACGGACCAGUAGUUUCCGAUGGUUAUGGUUGCUGCUACAAUCCACGACCGAAGGAUAUUCUAUUCGCUAUUUCGUCAUUUAAAUCGUGCAGCGAGACUAACACGAGGGACUUUGCUCGUAUUUUACAGCAGACACUGAUCGGCAUGCGAGAUAUAGGAAGUGAUUGAAAGUGCAAGAACUUCAUUUUUAUUGCGACGGAGAAAUUGUUGAUUGGUACUUAUAUCCCAGCUAUAGCCAGGCCUGUUAAAAUCACAUAUCUUGAAAGCUUUACAGUAUCUUGCUGCGGAAUUUGGCAAAUCAACAAUGGCGGAGGAAGAGAGAAAAACAAGAGAAAAUAAUUUUGCCGGGUUGGCGGUCGCAAUCUAUUAGGAAUCGUAGGAGGGUAGAGGUAGACGCGCGAAAGAACGCUGGACAAGAGGAUGCUAAAUUGCCCGUCAAACUCGAUCGAGAUCGAUUAUGUAGAGUCAUUCGUUUAUCUUUGUUCAUAAAAAUAUUUGCUUUAAAAUACAAGUUAUGUAUGUAGCUUA